rnacentral:lncRNA from 1 species
AUUCUCGUUGUGUUGUUUAGCUUUUUUAUUUUUGUUUUUCUGACCAUGAUUUUCUUUUAGGUUGGCGGUUUAGCGUACUUCUGAUGCUCUUUUUUUCUUAACUUUUGUUUGUUUUGUUAUAAAUAUAUGGUCCCUAAUUUGCUAUUAAAAAACCAAUAUGAUUAGUAAUUGUCAUGUUUAAAAUUAAUAUAUCAGGAUAGAUAAAUCUUCUGAUUAGCCUGUGAUUUUCACCCUAAU